rnacentral:tRNA from 1 species
UGGGCCGAGCUGGAUUUGAACCAGCGUAGACAUAUGUCACGAUUUACAGUCCGUCCCCAUUAACCGCUCGGGCAUCGACCCA